GCAGACUGGCAGACAUGUAUCUGAUGAGACAUUACACAGCACUCUCCAGUACAAGGAAUUACUGCUCCUCUUCACCUGGACUUUGAUCAUCUCAACACGUUCUUGAGUGUUCCUCGUUUGGGCGUUUCAAGUUCGAAGCUGUUGGCCCAGCUGAUGUCCACGUGAACCUGGUCAAUAUUUGUGUCCAAAGGUUGUGAAUGUGGUGGAAUGGAGAUGGUGGAGAUGGUAAUAGAUGGUUAGGGUUAGGGCU